rnacentral:rRNA from 1 species
AGAGUUUGAUCAUGGCUCAGAUUGAACGCUGGCGGCGUGCUUAACACAUGCAAGUCGAGCGGUAACAGGCGUAGCAAUACGUGCUGACGAGCGGCGAACGGGUGCGUAAUACAUGGGAAUCUGCCUUUUAGUGGGGAAUAACCCGGCGAAAGCCGGGCUAAUGCCGCAUAAGAUCUUCGGAUGAAAGCGGGGGAUCGUAAGACCUCGCGCUGAUAGAUGAGCCCAUGCCGGAUUAGCUAGUUGGUGAGGUAACGGCUCACCAAGGCGACGAUCCGUAGCUGGUCUGAGAGGACGGCCAGCCACACUGGGACUGAGACACGGCCCAGACUCCUACGGGAGGCAGCAGUGGGGAAUAUUGGACAAUGGGGGAAACCCUGAUCCAGCGACGCCGCGUGUGUGAAGAAGGCCUGCGGGUUGUAAAGCACUUUCGGUGGGAACGAAAUAUGCCGGGCUAAUACCCCGGUAGGCUGACGUACUCAAGAAGAGAC